AUGCCAUUGAUUAAUACUGCAGCCGAUGGUUUCAGAACCCCGGAGGAGUAUCAAGGAGAUAUUCUAAAGGGAGCCUCUCAAGUUUCAAAACCAGAAGUUACUGGAACUCUGGGCUUUCCUCCUUUGAGGCCACUUUUGCUACCAUCCCGGAAUUACUGGCGAGUGAUAUUCAUUGGCGGCCACUUACCAGGAUGCAGGAAGACGUUAGAAAUCCCAGGAUGCUCUGGUGAUCCUUCUGGACUAGAGACCCCCAGAAAACAGGCCAGGAUGCCCGAGUGGGUGAGAGACUGCACAGAGAAGAGACAAGACUGCCACCUCCUCUGCAAACCUCACAGAAAUGACUCCACUGUCAGGAUUUCCUGGAGGGCCACCUUUGCACAUAUGUUUGAGAAGAGGCUGGCAACUCUGAGGUGCUCCUUGAACAUGCUGUGCAUAUAUCUUGCAUCCAUCUUUUCACUUGGGAACCUCUUUGGAUGCUGUGAAGGUCUAUGCCAUGUGGUAAGCCCUGCAGCCAUGUUGAAUCACUGUGAUUUUAUAUUAUUACCUUGCUUGUGGUCUCACUGGGGUUCUGGCUUGCCCCUAUUUCUAUACUAAAAUGUGAAUUCCUCUCCCAUCUGGGGACAUACCCCAUGAGUCUCACCACACGUGCCAAUGACAGACAGAUUGAUUUGGAGAGUAUUACUAAUGGGUUGGUUUGGGCCUCAGCCACAAAUAUAAUCAAAAUCUCCUCUCAAAUUCUAAUUAUUUUCAAAAUAUGUGAUAUCUUGGAUUGAUGUAAUCAGAACCACAAGAGGGCGUGAAAUGUGACAGCAGAAAGUAGCACAGCUCAAGGUUCAUCUGGCCUAAAGGAUUCACAUUGUGUGUAUUUUCGUUCCUGUUCUGUUGUGAGCCAGUCAGUCCGAGCUCAAAAGACCUGAGCAAAUUGCACUGUGUGGUGCCCCAGCAGCCAACUAAUUACUGUCUCCACUAGAAUGGAAGGCUUCAUGAAGGUACCUAGCUGGCCUGCUAUACAUAUUCAUUGAAGGAAGGCAGGAAGGAAGGAAGAAAA
rnacentral:lncRNA from 12 species